UCAGUUCAUUCUUCAGCUUUCAUUACCAAAAUCAUGGCUAUUGAAGCUUCACAGAGAAGCUUUCCCCACAAGAGAAGUCAUAAAUGAAAGGGGUAUUCAGAAACCUACCUUCAGAGCCCCUCAACACCUAAAGUGUUGUUUAGGGCCACACUUAAAAGACUGUCAUUCUGUUUUCUUGGAAUAGUAUAUAUAAAAGGCCCUUCAACUGCCCUUUCUGCAUGUGUGCAGCCUUUAGCCUGUCACUAACCUCAGACGAGCUAUACCUGAGUAGCACCCAAGUUUCCAAGUCUCAGGCCAGACUGCCUCCUUAGUAUGUAAGAAAUAAAAUACAUCAGCAAAUCAAUGUACCUCACUCUAACCCCCUCACCUCAAAACAAGAAAACUAGCUUUUUUCCCCCUCAGCACUCUAUAAUUCAUACAUUAACAAAAAAAUUAAUUCUGACAAAACUACCUUUGGCCUCUUUCCAAAGACAUGAAGUUUUUACUGAAAUUGAUUGGGAAGAGAGGAACAAAUGGGUGUUUAAAAGUAUUCAAAUACAGGAGCUCAAUUGGGACUUUGAGUGGGGCUGUGGGUAGGGGUGAGGGCUGGCACACUGUAUGAGCAAAGCGAACCACAGCUGAGAGCAUUGUGGUUCUGAAACGGGUGGGGGUGGGGGUGGGAGAAAAGCCAUUUGGGAUUUUUCAAUAGAAGAAUGGCUACUUUUUUUUUUUCCCAAAUUGCCACUCUUUGGGGUUCACACUGCUCUUUCACUGUACCUUUUUCUUUUCUUUUCAAGCAAGUGCUAAUGAUUUGGCAUCCUGGCUCAUAGCUGUAUUCUACAUAAAUACGUUUACUUUCAAGCCUUUACUCAAACUCAACAUAAUCCCUUUUAGGGAAAAAUAAAUUUUAAGGAACACAGUUAUUAAUUCAAGAAAGCCUUUGCUGCUUUUAUUGUCACCCAAAUCAUACAUUGUUUUCCACAGAAUACUCCCAUUUGUUUAUAUUUCCCUACAGUUUUUGUUUGGGGGAGUUUUGUUUUGUUCUAGUGGCAGCUGAAGUGAUGUGGAGUGUUUUCAGCAUGAAGUUAAUUAACCAAAUGUUGCAACCUGGAACUCUGAACACCUGGGCUGACUUAAAUUGCUCAGCAUCAGUGUGGAAAUCUUUAACAGUGGAGAGGGCAGGAUUUGGGGUAAAACAGGAAGUAGAUGGUGAAAGUUGUUUUUCAUUUUAUUUUUUAAAAUAUAUAUCUCUUCAAUCUUGAAGCACAAUAAAAAAUCCAGUAAGUGUUCUACUCUUGGGUACCAUUUGUUCUCAGCAACAGCUCUCAGGUUCUGUUUGACUGAUGUUAUCUGAGGCUAAUGUGUUUGGUUGGCAUUGACCCUGAUCACUACUCCCUUUUCAUUUCUCUCUUCUAUAGAUCCUUGGACUUCAUGAUCUUUAAAACUCAUAUUUUCCAGGCCCCAGUGUCUUAUAUAUGCCUAUAAUCUCAGCUACUCAGGAGGUUGAGAUCUGGGGAUAAUGGUUCAGAGACAGCCAGGGCACAAAUAAAAGUCCACUGGACCCUUACUUCCAAUAACUAUCAAAAUGUCAGAAGCAAGCAGAACAGCAGCCUUGAGAGAAAAAAGCUAAGAGUCAGCACCAAGCCUGAGUUCAAGCCCAGAUAGCGGCACAUACACACAUAUAAAAUAAAACUCAGAUACUUGCAAACCACAGUGUCAAGGCUGCUGGUCAUAGGAAUUACUGUGAUAGUGCAAUGACAUGUAAGUACUUAAAUCUUCCCAUUUAUUCUUUCUUCCUGCUGAAGUUCUAGGUCAAUAGAAAAUGUGCAAUAGUGAAAUGAAAAUGUGAAUAGUGAAAGUCAUGGUACAUAUCUGUAACUUACCUCAGCGCUCUGAAGGCUAAGGCAGGAGGAUGUUGAAUUAGUGGCCAGCUUGUCUCAAACACCAAACUGAACUACAACAAAGGAAACAAAAUUGAUCAAGAAGUGAAGCACUCUUUUAUUAAAAAUUGAGCAAGCAGUUAGCUACCUCAUAUGAAGAAAUGGGGCUGUGGUCUGACAUCUUCAGUUGAUGUGGACUUGGCUAUGGAAUAGCCCAUCUUUUUCUUUCACCAGUUCUUAAAUCGUAAGAUCUAAAACUGAUUGAGAAUACCAAAUUUAUAUUAAGCAUUAUUUUAAAAACAUCAUUAAUAACAUUCUGAUCUGGAUAGUGGGUGGUUAUGAGGGCCUGUCCUGUGAAUUGUAGGAUGUUUAAUUAUUCCCCUGAUCUCCCUUACUAGAUUUUGUAGCAAACUUCUACCCUCACCUUAGCAACCAGAAAAAAAAAAUGUCACUCAGACAUUUUCAAAUGGAUGGUCCCCCGGCGAGAAUGACUGGUUUAUAAGAAGCCAACUAACUCUACCUGGUCUAGUAUCCCAAUAAUAUUCAGCUCAUAUGACAUAGUUUAGUCAUGAGCCACCAGGAGAGGCGAUACAAUAAGACUUUAAAAAAAAAAACAAGUAUAAAACAUGGUUGACAUUCAUUAAAAUGAUACUUUUUAAUUGCUUUAGAGUCACCUGGUUUUGUUUUUUUUUAAUCUUAAUACCCAGGACAGAACUCAUCAAUUACAAAAAAUUCUUACAGGAUAAAGUCUGUCCAUGGGGUUCUGAAAACUUCCCAGUGAUCCCAGUGUCCAAACAAAUUUGAGAACUAGGGCAAUGAUAUUUGAAUGAUUUGCAAAUAUCCUGUGUGAAGGAGAUCUUUCUGUUAUUCCUUCAUAUUACUACCAGUUCUUUUUGGAAUUCAGCAUGUAUCACAAUGGCCUGGAGUUUAGAAAGAAAGUUUCCUUGAUACAUUAAGUCUGUGGAAGGUCCUAUUGUUUUCAAUCUCCAAUGAAUUCUCAAGUAGCAUUAAUGCUGUUGAGCCAGGAGCCCUGAUGAUGACCAUAAAACCCAUCUACCCAUCCAUCCAUCCACCAUCCAUUGACCUACCCUACAUCCCUCUACCAU